rnacentral:rRNA from 1 species
GACGAACCGAGCGAACGUUGUUCGGAAUAACUGGGCUUAAAGGGCGCGUAGGCGGGCCGCCAAGUUCGAGGUGAAAUCCUCCGGCUCAACCGGAGAACUGCCUCGAAUACUGGAGGCCUCGAGGCGGGUAGGGGCGUGCGGAACUGUGGGUGGAGCGGUGAAAUGCGUUGAUAUCCACAGGAACUCCGGUGGCGAAGGCGGCACGCUGGACCUGAUCUGACGCUGAGGCGCGAAAGCCAGGGGAGCAAACGGG